ensembl:lncRNA
AUCAGGACAGCUGAAUCCUUUCAAGAGGAGAGGGACAUGAUCUUAUUUACCAUAGGCAAAAACAAAAAGGGAAGAUUACGCAACGCUUUAAUGACAGUGUUUCUGUCACUCACCCUGAUGGUAGUAAUUAUGUCUAUUAUGCAGAUUGGGUGGUGAAGGUGCUGUCCUGUGGGCCGUGCUCCUGAGGGGAUUACUGGGGGGAGGUUUAGUGUCACCAAAUAGAGCCUGGGAGUCUGGAAGUUCUCAUUGAUAAUCCUACAAAGACACAGUUUCUUAUAAAAUAAGCUCUUCAGAUCAACUAGAACAGGUAGACAUUGUCUCCUCCUUUAAGCCAUGUCCUCACUACGUCCCGCGUUAUUUUUCUGCCGUUGAGGGGGCUAGAAAUCUGCCUGGCUUGAUCUUCAGCCAAAAUGAUGAUUGGCACACACAUUUUUAGAGGAGGUGGAAGUGAAUGUAUUGUUUCUCCAGAGAACGACUCAGAAAUCCAUCUAGAUUUUAGGUGAGGGAUGAGGGGGAUGGGGUGCCGGCGGUGGGCAGGGGAGCAGAGGAUCUUCAGGGCAGCCCAGGAACAAACCCUGCCUGCUGUCGGCAUUGGAAACUUUUGCCUCAUUCAGAAACGUUUAUUCAGUACCUACUGUAUGUCAGGCACUGGUAUAGGGGUUUUGGACAUAAAAAAGAUUUCUUAAAAGGUGUCUACUGUUUAGUAGAAAGAGUGAUGAUUGAAUUAUUCAUUCAUUCAUUUAUUCAUCAAAUAGUUAUGGAAUCUUUCCCAUGUGCCAGAGACUGUUCUAGCACUUAGAGUACCAGUGUAAACCCAGCAGAUAAAGGUCCUGCCUUCUGCUGAUGAAAUGGCAGAGGCGGGUGUCCCGGGGAUGGAGGAGGCAUCCAUCGGGCCUGGAGCAGCCAGGGGGGCUCUCUCAGCACACCCAUCUGCAAAGGCUCAGAGGGUGAUGAGGAGUGACUGCUGACUGUUCUUUUAACUGUGACUUUAAAGUUUUUGUGAAGUUUAUAUGUGAGGUGUCACCAUUGUACUUCCUAACAACCCAAAAGGGACCUGGCAGAGGAAACAUAGCAUCUCAACAAAGGACAUUUUGAGGUGAGUUUUUUGUUAUCCAUCUUCCCAGCCUGCGCACUUCUGCUAUGCAAACUCGUCUGCCUUCCAAGUGUUAACUCCCCCUGCUAACUGAUGACCCCCGAGCUCAACCCCUCUAUCUACCUGCCAGCUGGCUGUGCCCACCUCCCAACCUCAGUGACUGGCGUCUCCCAGACACUGUGCCCAGCCUGGAGCCCUGUGACAUUCCUCUCCUCACUCCCCUAAUGUGAAAUCAUUCUCUGAACUGUCUCCUUCUCUCUACUGCAUGGGAUUGACUGUCCCUGUCCGUAGGACCAGGGCAGAAGCCUGUCCUUACCUACCUAGCCUUCGUAUUUGCCCAGGACUUGAGGAGCCAGGGGAGGACCUGGAUGGUUUCCCAGCAGCCUCUGGGCCGUCCCCCCACUCCCCUGACAUGCAGCACAUGGCACAUGACACACAGCACAUGACACAUGGCACAUGACACAUGGCACACAACAUAUGACACCCACCACAUGGCACAUGACACACGGCACAUGGUACCAGGAACAGGACACACAGCACAUGAUACUUGGCACAUGGCACACGGCACAUGGUACAUGACACAUGGCACACAGCACACAACACAUGGCGUGGGCAGAGAGUGGAAGAGGCUCCUUUCCCUGGCCACUCCCCAGGGGCCUUCUUCUCCAGCUCUCCAACCACCUUUACUGUGAAACUCUGGUGGGACCCCUGCUCAGGUGAGUUCCCACAUCUCAGGCUCUGAGGACCCAUCAGAGACUUUCUCUGAGGGCUCAGGACAGAACCAACACACUGACAGCCCCUGAGCUAGGGGAGGGAGUGGGAGAACGCCCUCCUGCCUUCAGAGGUCACUGGCUCCUGGAGGGGGGUCAGAUCACUCUCAUCUCUGCAGGGUCCUCCCUCCUGAUGCAGGACUCCCCUUUUUGACUGCAGCGUUGCUGUUUUCUGUGGAGACAGGAGGCUGGAGGGUUGGCCUGUGUGUGUUCCGGAGGUGUGACAAGCACAGUGCCCGCCCUAGUUCUGCUGCUGAAUGAACCUUGUUAACCUAAUGCUUGGAGGCAGCCUCCUUCUGCACCAGGGCUACACCCCACCCCAGAAACCGAAAGUGCAGGGAGAAGACCGAGAGAAAGUAUAAAAUAAGAUAUCAAAAAAGGAGAAACCGGAAUAGAAAUCAAGCUCCAGAAAGCCGUCGGAAGUGGAAAUGCAGGGAGGCCUCAGGGCAUAUUAGAAAAGGAGUCAUGAUGGGACCAGAACGGCUGGAAAAGUCAGACAUAUACCCCCUUCCCGAGAAGGCAAGGCUUGAAUGCUCAAUCUAAGUGUGGCCAAUAAGAUUCUCUGGUCUAGGCUCAGAAUCGGGAGCAAGAGAAGCAAAGACAGUGGGGAAUUUGUUCUGCAGCAACAAUGGAUUCCAGGGCAAUAGUGGCCACAGUGACAAGCAUCUUGCUGUUCUCCGCAUGGUUGAAGCUUGGUUGCCUCUAUGUUAAUGUCCAGCCAGCAAGGAAGGAAAAGAGUGCAACGGAGACCCACCCAUGUUCUUGAGGCUCAGGCCAGAAGCAGCACACGUCACUUCUUCUCAUAUUCCACUGCUAACUGCAAGGGGGGCUAGUUACUGAGGAGGGGAAAUUGGCUACUGGUGGACAAUUAGCAUUUUCUUCAAUAAUAUCAUAAUUUUGAAGGAAUGGGUCAAAUGGUGCAAAUUUGAAGCACAGUGGUAGGUAGGUGAAAAACUUACUUUUUUGUGUUUGUGUGUGAGGACGACUGGCCCUGAGCUAACAUCUGUCGCCAAUCCUCCUCUUUUUUGCUUGAGGAAGAUUGUCGCUGAGCUAACAUCCAUGCCAGUCUUCCUCUGUUUUUUGUAAGAUGCCAACACAGCACGGCUUGAUGAGCAGUGCUAGGUCCACACCUGGGAUCUGAACCUACGAACCCUGGGCCUCCAAAGCAGAGUGUGCGAACUUAACCGCUACACCACCAGGCCAGCUCCAGAAAACUUACAUUUUUGAGGAUGAAGGGACAGCCAGGUAAAAGAAGACGGUGGUAUGAAGGUCUUGCAGAAAGAAUAUAAGAUUUGAGUCUGGAGAAGUUUCCAGCCUCAGGUCUUCACAAAUAUACCAUAUUGAAUGUUUAAUAGACACAUUAGUAUAUGUGUUAUGGAAAUAAACAGCGGAAUGCCAUG